rnacentral:rRNA from 1 species
UACGAAGGGGGCUAGCGUUGCUCGGAAUCACUGGGCGUAAAGGGUGCGUAGGCGGGUCUUUAAGUCAGGGGUGAAAUCCUGGAGCUCAACUCCAGAACUGCCUUUGAUACUGAAGAUCUUGAGUUCGGGAGAGGUGAGUGGAACUGCGAGUGUAGAGGUGAAAUUCGUAGAUAUUGGGAGGAACACCAGUGGCGAAGGCGGUCCCCUGGGCCGGAACUGACGCUGAGGCGCGAAAGCGUGGGGAGCGAUCCGG